rnacentral:rRNA from 1 species
AACGUAGGAGGCAAGCGUUAUCCGGAGUUACUGGGCGUAAAGCGCAUGUAGGCGGCGGCGUAAGUGGUGGGUGAAAGCUCCCGGCUCCACCGGGAGAGGACCGAUCAGACUGCGCGGCUAGAGCACGGUAGAGGGGCAUAGAAUUCCGGGUGUAGCGGUGAAAUGUGUAGAGAUCCGGAGGAAUACCAGAGGCGAAGGCGAUGCCCUGGGCCGCUGCUGACGCUGAGAUGCGAAAGCGUGGGGAGCGAACGGG